AAGCUUAAUUAUGUACACCUUAAUUCACAACCCCACAUCGAACCCUCUAGUCAUACUGAGAACUUCUAUAACAUUAUAGAACCUUUUAUGUUAAAACUAGUAACAAGAGGCAACACCUCUCCUUAAUGCAAGCGUAAGCCAGCAGGAACCCAUCACUGGCAAUUAACAACCCAAACAAGUAGCAACCCACCCAGAGACCCCUACUCUUUUCAUUGUUAACCUAACACCAGAGCAUUUCAAGAAAGAUUAAAAGAAAAAGAAGGAACUCGGCAAAUAUCUUAACCCCGCCUGUUUACCAAAAACAUCGCCUCUUGCCAACUAUAAGAGGUCCAGCCUGCCCAGUGACUUGUUUAACGGCCGCGGUAUCCUAACCGUGCGAAGGUAGCGUAAUCACUUGUCUUCUAAAUAAAGACCAGUAUGAAAGGCAUCACGAGGGUUAAACUGUCUCCUUUAUCUAAUCAGUUAACCUAUUCUCCCCGUGAAGAAACGGGGAUUCUCCUAUAAGACGAGAAGACCCUAUGGAGCUUAAAACAUAAUAACACCUGCCGCCCACCAAAAUAUUCAGAUACCCUACCCCUGAGCACACUGAUUAUAAGUUUUUGGUUGGGGUGACCGCGGAGAAAAACUUAUCCUCCAUGAUGAAGGGGACUCCCCCCCUAAACAAUAAGCUACAACUUUAUGUAUCAAAAAAUUGACAUCCUUUGACCCAAUAAUUGACCAACGAACCAAGUUACCCUAGGGAUAACAGCGCAAUCCACUUCGAAAGGCCCUAUCGACAG
rnacentral:rRNA from 1 species